GACGAACGCUGGCGGCGUGCCUAAUACAUGCAAGUCGAACGCAGUGGGGACGGGUGAGUAACACGUGGGUAACCUCCCAUCAGAGGGGAUAACACUUGGAAACAGGUGCUAAACCGAUACUGAUGGAUGGACCCGCGGUGCAUUCGCUAGUGGGUGAGGUAACGGCUAACCAAGGCCACGAUGCAUAGCCGACCUGAGAGGGUGAUGAUCCACACUGGGACUUAGACACGGCCCAGAGUCCUACUCUGAUCACCAGGAAACAAUCGUCGGCAAUGGACGAAAGUCUGACCGAGCAACGCCGCGUGAGUGAAGAGGGUUUUAGGAUCGUAAAGCUCUGUUGUUAGAGAAGCGGUAUCUAACCAGAAAGCCACGGCUAACUACGUGCCAGCAGCCGCGGUAAUAC
rnacentral:rRNA from 1 species